rnacentral:rRNA from 1 species
CGAGGAAAAGAAAUCAACCGAGAUUCCCCCAGUAGCGGCGAGCGAACGGGGAGCAGCCCAGAGUCUGAAUCAGCUUGUGUGUUAGUGGAACGGUCUGGAAAGUCCGACGGUACAGGGUGAUAGUCCCGUACACCAAAAUGCACAGGUUGUGAACUCGAAGAGUAGGGCGGGACACGUGGUAUCCUGUCUGAAUAUGGGGGGACCAUCCUCCAAGGCUAAAUACUCCUGACUGACCGAUAGUGAACCAGUACCGUGAGGGAAAGGCGAAAAGAACCCCGGCGAGGGGAGUGAAAAAGAACCUGAAACCGUGUACGUACAAGCAGUGGGAGCCUCUUUAUGGGGUGACUGCGUACCUUUUGUAUAAUGGGUCAGCGACUUAUAUUCUGUAGCAAGGUUAACCGUAUAGGGGAGCCGAAGGGAAACCGAGUCUUAACUGGGCGUUAAGUUGCAGGGUAUAGACCCGAAACCCGGUGAUCUAGCCAUGGGCAGGUUGAAGGUUGGGUAACACUAACUGGAGGACCGAACCGACUAAUGUUGAAAAAUUAGCGGAUGACUUGUGGCUGGGGGUGAAAGGCCAAUCAAACCGGGAGAUAGCUGGUUCUCCCCGAAAGCUAUUUAGGUAGCGCCUCGUGAAUUCAUCUUCGGGGGUAGAGCACUGUUUCGGCUAGGGGGUCAUCCCGACUUACCAACCCGAUGCAAACUGCGAAUACCGAAGAAUGUUAUCACGGGAGACACACGGCGGGUGCUAACGUCCGUCGUGAAGAGGGAAACAACCCAGACCGCCAGCUAAGGUCCCAAAGUCAUGGUUAAGUGGGAAACGAUGUGGGAAGGCACAGACAGCCAGGAUGUUGGCUUAGAAGCAGCCAUCAUUUAAAGAAAGCGUAAUAGCUCACUGGUCGAGUCGGCCUGCGCGGAAGAUGUAACGGGGCUAAACCAUGCACCGAAGCUGCGGCAGCGACACUA